rnacentral:lncRNA from 1 species
CGGCCGGGGAGCGAGGAGCGGGGAUGCGGUGGUGCCGGGAGCGGGCGGCCGGGCGGCUGCGUCCUCGCUCGCCGCUGAUUUUAAGCUACUCAAACUUGAGGGAGGCCCUGCAGAGUCUCAGGCACCUGAAUGGGACAGUACAAGUGCGAGCUCCAGACUGCAUUCCAUGGGAUCAUGUGCAUGGCAGGAGGAGGAAGCCUGAGCUGAAGCUCCACCAUGAGCAUCAGAAAACUCCGUACACAACAUCGUCAAGAGACAUAACACUCUGACCAUGCCUCAGGGACAAGCCCAAUCUCCUAAAAACAAAAGGUGACACCUUUCUCAAGAAGAGGAAGUUCCUGUCUCCAUCAGGAGAAUGAAAACUAGGGAUUACACUCAUGGCUUGAUAAGCCAUUUUGGAUCAUCUGUUUGUUGUUUAGAAUCAUAGAAUCAUAGAAUCACCAAAGUUGGAAACUCCAAGAUCAUCUUGUCUAACAGUCCACCUACCACCAAUAUUUCCCCACUAAACCAUAUCCCUUAGGACAACAUCUUGAACACCUGCAGAGACGGUGACUCAACCACCUCCCUGAGUAGCCUGUUCCAUCACCUAAGAUUGCCCUCCUCCUUUUCAAUUUAGGUACAGCUAUCUGCCUAUAAUAUGUAAUUCCAGAAAGCAUCUUCCUUGUGGUCCUUCUGACACCCACUCAAGCUACAAGAUGUUCUUUACCCUAUUCCAGAAGCCCUGUCCUGGAUGGAAGCAAAGCUACCUGCUGUCAGUGUUGGUAAUUCACAACAACUCUGGAAACCUUAGAAGAAGAGGUAACAUGGGCAUCUCUGCAUCAUACCUCCAAUGUUUAUCAGCCCUUUCUGAAUUGCACUGCUGCUCUCUUGAAGGCUUGACAGAAGCUACAUACUGUGUGCCUGAGGAAGGCUUGAACAUCACACCAAAACAAGAACAAUUUCCACUUUCUCACUGCCUGUCUUACAGCAAAGAAGGGAGAUCAAGACCAGUAACCAUACAGGACAAAAUCUGACUGUAAGAAUCUGUUG